ACACAAAGGAAGCAGUUGAAAUUUCUCGUCUCAAUGACAGAACCAAAUUAUACACCAACAUUCAAGAUUGGAAGGUACAAAGAAAACCUUCAAAAUCAUGGAAAUAAAACAAAUUUAAAUAGAAUAACCAUCUGCAAAUCCUAAAUCAGAAAAAAAAAAGCAUAUCGAUCGAGAGAGCUAUGAUACUGAACUUAAAUGACAAAAAUAGAAUAAUAAUCUGAAAAUAUUUAACUAGGUUUUAUUAGAAAAUAUGCUAAGAUGACUCUUGAUGAUAUUGAAUUAAUGACAAAAAUUUCAAUUGACAUUAUCUACAAAUUUACACUUUCAUUAAUCAAGAAAAUUCCAACAUUUGAUUUCACUUGUAAAAAAUGAGGAAAACAAAACUUGGUAUAUAAUUACAGGUUAAGCUGAUCUUUCAAAACGACAAUCCCCUACUUAUAUUAUUAAAAUAAAACAAAGUUGGAUAGGAAAAAUAGGGAUGAAAAAAAUACCAGGAGAAAGAGCAAAGGAUAUGCUGACCCAAAAACUUAAUUGCAAGUGACUAAGAACCCAAAUCAAAUAUUUCAAAAACAGAUCAAGCUUGAAAUUUAGCAUAGCCAAAGUAAAUUCAAUUUUCAAAUCACAAUGUCUACGACUUAUGCAAAUUAUUGCCUAGUUCUACCCUAAUUGCAUCUUAGUUACUACUAAAUAUAACUACUUUUAAGGAAUUUGAGGAAUUGGAGUAGUAGAUAAAGGACAUAUAUUUAUCUACUUAGCUACUUAGCUAGUAAGUUCCCUGAAACAAUUAAAAGUGUAAGGUGUAUUAUCUGGAUUUAGAUAUAUAUGAAACGAAUCAAUCAAAACUGAUAACACACUCUUUCCCUAAAUUUUGAAACCCCAUUUUAUAUUAAGUAACUCCUUUACUUAUGUCAUCAAAAUUCAUAUUCAAGGCCAAAAAAGAAAAAAAUAAAAACUCUUCCAUUCUUCUUGGACUAUUUGAAUAGAAUAAGGAGCGACAAAUCUUCUCCACAUUCAAAGAUUAAUAAACAAAUUAAGCAGCAGAGAACACCCCAAAAAGAAAAUAAGAAGCAAGUGUUGCAGUCAUAUUUAGAAUAGGAAUGUGAUUGUGUAAAUUCUAGGGAAUCUGGGAAUGUAUCUUAUAUUCCUAUUAGGACUAGAUUACCUAUUAUAUGUUGUAAUCCUAAAGAAAAAGGUUUUACCCUUUCUACUACUAUAAAUAAGGCACAAUGGGUCAAUCAAACACACCUCAAACGAUUAUCAAUCUCCUCUCUCCCUAAAGCUUGCCGCACCCCUCUCUCUCUACCUAGAUCGCUCAAAUCAAGGGGCGACAACCUAUUCAGCAAUGCUCUUGCAAAAAGCUAAGGAAUUGACGCAUCGUUGGAGGAGGCUAUCAUCCACCAAAUUUAAAGGCUUAUUCUUUUUUCUGCUAAUCAGGUACGCUUAAAAUAAAAGAAGAUAUUUGAAAGUUCCCGAAGCAUGAAAACAUUCCCAUCAUGAUGCAUGACCCUCUAAUGUUUAUAUUUUCCUUUCGAUAUAUAUAUUGUAUAUGUUCAUAUAUUUGUCAAUAUAUAUAUUUGUUCAUGCAUUCACACAAUUAAAUUGUUAUGUGUGGAAUUUGUGAGUCAAAGCAUAAAAUUAAAUUAGAAGCAUAUUAGGUUGUAGAACCCUACAAUUUCGAAAAAUUUUUAAAGUUUAAAUUUUGGACAAAAUGCAUUGCAUUUGCAGCAGCCCCUUGGGCUUUGCUGCACCUACUUGGACCCCCAGGCCUUCGGUGUGUUGAUUGGAGUUAGUUAUUUCUCUGUGCAAAACCUGCAGCUUUCCUGGACCUAGACCAAACCCACGGCAAGCUUUACUUGCUGGGUUCUUGUCCCGCACGCUGCAACCUUUUUUUUGGUUGCUGGCCUUUGUUGCCUUGGCCCGCAUCAACUGCACACUGACGCCAACCUUGCGGCUGGGCUUCCCUGCGCAACAACAAACAGGCCAGCCUUGUUGAACCUGCACGGCCCCCCUUGGCCCAUAUAUGAAACCCAGCUUUGGCUGAGGGUUUCUCACCCUCCUCGCGUGGCCUCUAGCCCACCCCUUAAUCCCUUGGGCUGUGUCUUAUGCUUAAGACACUCACCCAUGCCCAAAUUAUUUUUUGGGGCAUUGUUUUUUAAACCAAAUGCUAUUAUUUUAGCAUUCUAAAUAAUUUACCCGUAUAUUAAUUUUGCUUUACAAUCGCCCUUAUGGUCGAUUUUUAUUCGAUUAAUUAAAGUGACCUGCAGUCCAUUUAAUCUGAUAAUGAAUCCAUGCUGAAGAUCACUUUUGACAAACGAUUCAAUAUAAAUCUUUUUAUACUUUGAACGUCACAUACUUGUAGUAACGAAGCUCUUACACUUUGUUCCUGAAGAAAAACUCAAAUACACUAAUAUUACGUUAGUAUUUGAUUCUGUGUUCUUGUAGGAAACAUUAUGAAUUAAUACCUAAUUUAAGUUUUAAAUUUAGUGCCUUUGAAACCCAAAGUUUUCAUUCAAAACAAUAUAUAAAUCCGUUAGUUUUCAUGCAUAAAUUAAAACCACUACAUGUCGAAAGAACCUGUAUGUUCUACGAGAUAUCUCUAUGCUUACCUAUGACUAAUCACAUUUUCUCCCUCGUUUAGGACUGUUGAAUUGACCAAGCUUGAUUUCUCCGCUCUAGAAGUCUUUGGAAGAAACUAUUUGAAGGGGUUCAAACGUGAGAAGCUCUCAUGGGGUAAGAGCCACCAUGAGACACCUAUCGCCGACAAACCUGUUUCCGAAGCCAGAAGGCUACUGCAAUGAUCUUCAUCCGAGGCCAUGAUUGCCUUGUGCUUGAGGUAUCUGCUGACACAGACAUCCCGUUCUUGCCUGAAGCGUGGAUGAAUAGAACUAGACCAAACGUGUUCGAAUCCGUUUCUGAGGAUACAAAUUCCGGUUGAAAAGUAGGUUCUUUGUUGAAAUUUUGCCAAAGUGGAACUAACCGAUCAGAUUCCUGGAGAAGACCUAUUCGAACUUCCAUGCCACCAAUAUUGUCCUGCAGUAACAAUAUAGAGCACAAAAAUUCACCAAAUUUCAGAUUUGAUCUCUGUUUUACUUAUCGUUAAAAAGUAGAAUCAGCUUUUGAUGAAGAAUUAUCAAGCUCGACCUAUUGGCUCGAACGUCGCACCUGAAGCGUAUGCGACCUAUUCUAGCAGCCAUAAAUGAAGAAAGAACCGUUGUGGUUGUGGCAAUGGGCGGCAAGCCUAACCACGGGCCUAAGGUCAACAGAGUGUCGCACUUAAGGGAAGAAUUGCAACCCAGCAGCGUCCACCAUUCGCCCCUAAGGUCCUAAACUUCAAGAUCAAGGGCAAAGCUCCCCGUUCAGGCUGCUUCUACUGAACUGGACAUGUGCUAUCUCUGUGGAUUAAGGGAUCAUUGAUCACGGGUAUGUCGAGCUUCUCCUUAGGCUAUUGCCAAGUAUCAUUCCCGUCUGAGUCUACUUUGCAAUGUGGAUCAUCCGGAGAUGCUACUACAUCAAUGGAGAUAUCAGAUUUUUUCAAGAGGCGUCAACGCUAUGGAUGAAUAAAUAGACAUGUAUUUUUUACCCUAGUGUGCCGAACCACAGAGUGGCCGCCUUACCCCCUUAUUUUGCUAGGUUAUGGUUUUAAUUUGAAAAUGCUAUUUGGGGUUUUGUUUGGUUUGGUUUGUUUUGAAUUACAUAAUUUGAUGGAUAUUUUCUCGAAUUGCAUAAUUGAAUGAACUUAUUAUAUUUAUACAUUGGACCCAAUUCAAUCAAUUAUUCUAGGUAUGUCUAGUGGGGAAGUUAGUUGUCUGGCAGAUAGUGCAACCACACACACCAUCUUGCGUGAACGCCACUAUUUUACUAACUUCAUACCCAAGAAAGCUCAUUUGACAACCCUUCAUGCUCAUCCAACCUGAUUGAAGGAUCGGAAGACAAGUAUCAUGUCUAAUGGUACAUUCUGACCAUUAAGGAGGGCACUUAUUCUCCACAUUCGAAAGACGUUGCUGAGUUUUAGAGAUAUUAAAGAUAAUAAAUAUCAUCUUGAAACUGAAGAUCAUGGUUCUGGAAUUCUUUGUAUCACUUCAUAUAUGAAUAUCCAGAAACUUUCACGAGAAAUGGAAUGCUGUCCGAGUGGUGUACAUCACAACCAUUUGCGCAAAAGCCCACAGUGUGGCCAACCCUAUGCUUUCCGGACACUUUGUUGCUUUGGCAUGAUUGUUUGACAUCUUGGACGUGACAUGAUGCGCCGUAUACUCAAUCUUCACACGGGCAAAGUUACAUCCCUUUGUUGGACCCCCAUCAUGCAAAGCGUGUUCUUUAGGGAAGUUGAAUACUAACCCUCAUAUACAAAGAUUAUUCACGACCCCCCAAAUUUUUCAGAGGAUUCAAGGGACAUUUGUUACAACUACCUAACUAAUUUCAUUACCUUUUAUGUGUUGGUUGAUGCAUCGACAGAUGUCACAUGUUUUCUUGUUGUCCACACGCAACGCCCGUUUGCUAAACCUAGCUCAAAUCAUUAAGCUAGGCUCACCACCCUGAUACCCGAUCAAGUCGAUUCGACUGGAUAAUGCUGGAGAGUUUACGUCACAGACUUUUGAUGAUUAUUGCAUGUCAUUAGGGGUAAAUGUGGAACAUCCUGUACUCCAUGUUCAAACCCAAAAUAGCCUGGCAUAAGCUUUCAUAAAGCGCAUUCAAUUGAUAGCUCGAACUUUGGUUAUGCGAACCAAACUGCCGGUAUCUGCCUGGGGCUAUGCAAUAUUGUACGCAGCUAUGUUGGUCCGCCUGAGGCUUGCCGCUACCUAACCACAUUCAUCGUUAUAGUUGGUCAUUAGAUAUGAGCCUGACGUCUUGCAUUUACGGGGGUUUGGGUGCGCCAUUUAUGUGCCAAUACCGCCGCCGCUACUUACCAAAAUGGGUCCUAAGAGAAAAAUGGGAAUUUAUGUCGGUUAUGAUUCGUCAUUAAUUGUUUGAUACUUAGAACCCUUGAUAGGAUAUCUCUUUACCGCAUGUUUUUCGGAUUGUCACUUUGAUGAGACAAUCUUCCCGUUGUUAGGGGGAGAUAAGCAUGCUAACGUUCUUCGUAAAACACCGCAAAUUGUGUGGUAUGCCCCACUAUGUCAUUUAGAUCCCCGCAUACCCAGUCUGAAACUGAGUGGCGUCGAAUUAUAGAUCUUCAGAGCAUUGCUUAAAAGCAUAUGCCGGAUGCUUUUAUGAUCUACCAAAGUGACAAGAUCACAUACACCGCUGCAAACACACCACAAGGAUAGAUGUACCCCUACAACUGGGAAAUAGGAUGUGCCUGGGUAAGAUCAACACCAUUCGCAUGACCAUCAGGGGAGGGCAAGACUUGCUAGCUAGUCGCUCAGCCGACCCUGAAAGGUAUUUAGAUGGUUCAAAGGAUUCACAACCCGAAAAGGGCUGGCAAAUCUCACACCCUUUUUGUCGUAUGCGACCAUUCGCUCCCUUCAUCCGUACCAAAAAUGCGGUUAUUCUAGACGAUGGUGAUCUUACUCAACUGGGCCGGCCUAAGAAUCGUAAGAUUUUGGUUCCGUUUGGAUUAGUUUGGAAUGGAAUGAGAAUGUUUAACGUAUGAUGAAAGCUAACGGCGAACCGAUUGUCAAACUGAAACAACAUCCAACAAUCUAGGUCGAACUUGAUUCACUCGUAAAACGUAAGGUAUUUGGACCUAUCGUUCCUACACCACCACGCGUGAAGCCUGUUGGCUACAAGUGGGUUUUCGUGAGGAAACGUAAUGAGAAUAAUGAAAUAGUGCGAUACAAAACACGCCUCGUAGCGCAAGGCUUCUCUCGGCACCCAUGGAUUGAUUACAAAGAGACAUAUUCCCCCGUAAUAGACGUUAUAACGUUCCGCUACCUAAUCAGUUUGGUAGUUUCUGAAAAACUGAAUAUGCAGCUUAUGGACGUGGUAAUCUCUUAUCUCUAUGGGGAUCUAGAUACGAAAAUUUAUGUGAAAGUUCCAAAAGGACUUCCAUUGACUGGCUCAAAUAAUUCUAGACCACGGAACACUUUCUCAAUUAGGUUGAGGAGGUCACUCUAUGGAUUAAAACAAUCUUGGCGGAUGUGUUAUAAUCAUCUGAGUGAAUAUUUGACAAGUCAGGGUUAUGCAAACAACGAACUAUGCCCAAUCGUGUUCAUAAAGAAGUCACAUUCCGGAUUUGCAAUUGUUGCAGUUUAUGUCGGUGACAUGAACCUUAUUGGGACUCCCGCAGAGCUUGAAGAAAUUGCUACACACUUGAAAUUAGAAUUUGAGAUGAAGGAUCUUGGGAAAACUCGAUACUAUCUCGGCCUGGAGAUCGAGCAUUGUUCGGAUGGAAUCCUAGCGCAUCAAUCGAACUACACCUAAAAGGUGUUGCAACAUUUUAAUGAGGAUAAAGCGAAGCCUUCGAGUACACCCAUGGUCGUUCAGAUUCUAGAUGUUAAACGAGAUCUCUUCCGUCUAAAAGAGGAUAAGGAAGAGAUUUUGGAACCCGAAGUUCCUUACCUAAGUGCAAUUGGGGCUUUAUUGUACUUGGCUUAGUGCACUAGACUCGACAUCUCAUUCGAUGUGAAUCUAUUGGCUAGAUACAGCAAUGUGCCCACAUGCAGGCACUGUAAUGGUGUUAAAGACAUUUUUCGCUACCUAAAAGGUGCUACUGAUUUGGGCUUGUUUUAUACCCAUGAAUCUCCAAGUGUUGCUACCCCCUAUGACCCUCGGAUUGAUUCUCGCCUUGUUGGUUACGUAAAUGCUAGAUAUCUGUCUGACCCAUAUAGAGCACGUUCUUAAACGGGUUAUGUCUUUACCGUUGGAGACAUUGCUAUAUCUUGGAGGUCUACCAAGCAAACGCUAGUUGCGACUUCAUCUAACCAUGCUAAGAUUCUCGCCUUACAUGACGCAUCGCGUGAGUGCUUUUGGUUGAGAGAAGUUAUGGAACAUAUUUGAAGCACUAGUCUUACAUCAGUUGUUGACUUUCCUACGACGAUCUUUGAAGACAAUGCAGCAUGUAUCGAGCAGUUAAAAAAGGGAUACAUCAAGGGAGACAACACCAAGCACAUAGCGCCAAAGUUCUUUUACUCAUACCAGCAGCAGCAGCAUCAAAACAUUGAAGUCAAGCGAAUCCGUUCCCAGGACAACCUGGCCGAUCUCUUUACCAAGUCAUUGCCCAAGUCUACAUUUCAGAAGCUCGUUCAAGGAAUCGGUAUGCGUAAAUUAUCUGAGUUGAAUCACUUGUAGUUCUCUUAUUUAGAAGUUAUGUCUAACUCAGGGGGAGUAUCUAGAAGCAUACUCACAUGAUCUUAAUAUACUCUUGUUCCUACGAUUAGGAGCAUUUUUCCCAUUGGGUUUUUGCUACCUAAUGAGGUUUUAAUGAGGCACCCAUCCUGGGAUGAUCAUACUCCGAUGAGUUCACUACCUUCGUCCAGUUUGACAAGUGUUUUAGACAUUAUGCAUAUUUUCUUACUUUUCUCCUUAGUCUAUGGGUUUUCCCCAUUCCUUGGGUUUUACCAUAGCAAGGUUUUUGCGAGUUUUUACACAUGCAUACUUCAAAGUAAAUUUGAGACUUGUGAUCACCCGUUGUGCCGAUGACUUUAUCAACUAUUAUACUUUAUCUGCUGAAGAUCUGAUGCGAUGGUUUGUUGAGUAUUUACACACUUAAGGGGGAGUGUUGCAAUCAUAUUUAGAAUAGGAAUGUGAUUGUGUAAAUCCUAGGGAAUCUGGGAAUGUAUCUUAUAUUCCUAUUAGGACUAGAUUACCUAUUAAAUGUUGUAAUCCUAAAGGGAAAGGUUUUACCCUUUCUACUACUAUAAAUAAAGGCACAAUGAGAUGAAUCAAACACACCUCACAAUUAAAUCAAUCUCUCUUCUCCCUAAAGCUUGCCACACCCUUCUCUCUUUAACCCUAGAUCGCUCAAUCAAAUAGGCCUACAACAACAAGAACAAUUUAAUCCAAGAAGAAUUCAAAGCAUAAAGAGAGGAGACAAUAGAAUCUAAUUGAUAAUUAAUUACCUAGAAAGAAAUAUGAUUAUCCUUGGGAUUAAUCUUAGCUUUUUCGGGCAUGUUUUCUGGAUCCUCAAAUGGCAAAAGAUGUAUUCCAAUACCUAAGAAAUUGGAAGCCAAGCUAUGAUUAGAGCAAGGCAAAUAGUGGUGCAAAUACUUUGGGAGUACCAAAGUUAGAACUGAAAGGAUUGCAGAAAUGUAUACAAUAAAUGUAUGAAUUUACAAAAACAUAAAUAUAUAUUUGAUAAAUGGAUAAAGUUUUAGAUAUGUAUUGACUCUAAAUGCUAAAAUAAUAUGAGACACUAAGACCAUCUCCAAUGGUGGCUUAUAA
rnacentral:lncRNA from 1 species